GUUACCUUCGGGUAAUGAGGAUGGCGGACGGGUGAGUAACGCGUAAGGAACUUGCCUCUUGGACUGGGACAACUGUUGGAAACGACAGCUAAUACCGGAUAUUAUGAGAUUCUCGCAUGAGAAAUUUAUGAAAGCUAUAUGCGCCAAGAGAGAGCCUUGCGUUACAUUAGCUAGUUGGUGGGGUAACGGCCCACCAAGGCGACGAUGGAUAGCCGGCCUGAGAGGGUGAACGGCCACAAGGGGACUGAGACACGGCCCUUACUCCUACGGGAGGCAGCAGUGGGGAAUAUUGGACAAUGGGCCACAAGCCUGAUCCAGCAAUUCUGUGUGCACGAUGAAGGUCUUCGGAUUGUAAAGUGCUUUCAGUUGGGAAGAAGAAAGUGACGGUACCAACAGAAGAAGCGACGGCUAAAUACGUGCCAGCAGCCGCGGUAAUACGUAUGUCGCAAGCGUUAUCCGGAUUUAUUGGGCGUAAAGCGCGUCUAGGCGGAAAAAUAAGUCUGAUGUUAAAAUGCGGGGCUCAACUCCGUAUUGCGUUGGAAACUGUUUUUCUAGAGUACUGGAGAGGUGGGCGGAACUACAAGUGUAGAGGUGAAAUUCGUAGAUAUUUGUAGGAAUGCCGAUGGAGAAGUCAGCUCACUGGACAGAUACUGACGCUGA
rnacentral:rRNA from 1 species